rnacentral:rRNA from 1 species
AACGAACGCUGGCGGCAUGCCUAACACAUGCAAGUCGAACGAGACCUCCGGGUCUAGUGGCGCACGGGUGCGUAACGCGUGGGAAUCUGCCCUUGGGUUCGGAAUAACAGCGAGAAAUUGCUGCUAAUACCGGAUGAUGACGUAAGUCCAAAGAUUUAUCGCCCAAGGAUGAGCCCGCGUAGGAUUAGCUAGUUGGUGAGGUAAAAGGCUCACCAAGGCGACGAUCCUUAGCUGGUCUGAGAGGAUGAUCAGCCACACUGGGGCUGAGACACGGCCCAGACUCCUACGGGAGGCAGCAGUGGGGAAUAUUGGACAAUGGGCGAAAGCCUGAUCCAGCAAUGCCGCGUGAGUGAAGAAGGCCUCGGGUUGGU